AGAAUCAACGCUGGCGGCGUGCCUAACACAUGCAAGUCGAGCGAGAAAAGGGGGGCAACUCCCUGAGUACAGCGGCGCACGGGUGAGUAACACGUGGGUAAUCUGCCCUGGAGUGGGGAAUAACACCGGGAAACCGGUGCUAAUACCGCAUACGAUCACGAGGUCUGCGGACUUUGUGAUGAAAGGAGCAAUUCGCUCUAGGAGGAGCCCGCGGCUGAUUAGCUAGUUGGUGAGGUAACGGCUCACCAAGGCUACGAUCAGUAUCCGGUCUGAGAGGACGGUCGGACACACUGGAACUGAGACACGGUCCAGACUCCUACGGGAGGCAGCAGUGGGGAAUUUUUGGCAAUGGGGGCAACCCUGACCAAGCAACGCCGCGUGGGUGAUGAAGUCUCUUGGGACGUAAAACCCUUUCGACGGGGACGAAAACCGCAAGGUUUGACGGUACCCGUAGAAGAAGCCCCGGCUAACUCCGUGCCAGCAGCCGCGGUAAUACGGGGGGGGCAAGCGUUGUUCGGAAUUACUGGGCGUAAAGGGCGCGUAGGCGGUUCGCUAAGUCGGAUGUGAAAACUCUGGGCUCAACCCAGAGCCUGCAUCCGAAACU
rnacentral:rRNA from 1 species